CAACAAAUGAGGCUUCCUGCAGUCACUAAGGAUCACGAUUCUAAAUAAAUCUGAGAAGCUCAGCAAUAGAGGUCGCCCCCUCCCCCGGGCGGAGUCCUUGAUAUCUGAAACAAGGCUUCACAUCAUCUGGCAUUAAACUAUGGGGCUGCUUGAAGGCAGAAUUUGUCUUAUUCUGAUGUAGGAUGACCAAAACAUCUGGAGAAACAAAUUGGGGUGAGCCCUCUCCAAGCGUGUUAAUAAAAUACUAGUUGUCAGCAUAAGACAGACAACAAGGCAAGACCCAGAAGCCACUUGCUCCACAUCUGCAGUUACAAGGCAGAACAAAUUUGCCAGAACCAAGCUACAGAUGGGGAAACUGAGGCCUGGAGUAACCAGUCAUAUUGCUUCCAUGCUGGGAACUCUCCAAUGACAUAUCGCACAAUACAGAGCCAACCUCAAGUUCCCCACCAUAGACCACAAGGACUUGCAAGUUCUAACCUU
ensembl:lncRNA LINC02350 long intergenic non-protein coding RNA 2350